rnacentral:snRNA from 1 species
GUGCUCACUUCAGCAGUGCAUAUACUAAAAUUGGAAUGAUACAGAAAAGAUUAGCAUGGCCCCUGCACAAG